rnacentral:rRNA from 1 species
AUUGAACGCUGGCGGCAUGCCUUACACAUGCAAGUCGAACGGCAGCACGGGUGCUUGCACCUGGUGGCGAGUGGCGAACGGGUGAGUAAUACAUCGGAACAUGUCCUGUAGUGGGGGAUAGCCCGGCGAAAGCCGGAUUAAUACCGCAUACGAUCUACGGAUGAAAGCGGGGGACCUUCGGGCCUCGCGCUAUAGGGUUGGCCGAUGGCUGAUUAGCUAGUUGGUGGGGUAAAGGCCUACCAAGGCGACGAUCAGUAGCUGGUCUGAGAGGACGACCAGCCACACUGGGACUGAGACACGGCCCAGACUCCUACGGGAGGCAGCAGUGGGGAAUUUUGGACAAUGGGCGAAAGCCUGAUCCAGCAAUGCCGCGUGUUUGAAGAAGGCCUUCGGGUUGUAAAGCACUUUUGUCCGGAAAGAAAUCCUUGGCCCUAAUACGGUCGGGGGAUGACGGUACCGGAAGAAUAAGCACCGGCUAACUACGUG